rnacentral:tRNA from 1 species
GUAGCUCAGUUGGCAGAGUAUUUGUCUACCAAGCACAAGACCCUGGGUUCAACCCCUAGC